CACCACAAAAAUAUAUGAAAUUAAAUUACACUUUUUUUCUUUCUAGAAUGACUAUGUUGUUACAGAUAGUUACCCACUAUUUACUCUUUCAGCCAAUGCUAAUACAGUCUCCUGGACAUUUAAAUUUAUUGCCACUUAGAUUAGUGCCAAAGUAAAGUAUCACAGCAGGGAAGCUCUAUGUAAACUCUAUUGAGCUCCCAGCAUGAUAGUCAAAUUACAACGUGAUGCUCUCAUGCUACAGAGUUUUUGUUGUUGUUGUUUUUAUAUUAUUUUUAUCUAACCUAACAAUCUCCUAACUUUUGAAUUUGAGUUACUUUUUACAAUAAUAAUUGAAAGGUAUACAUAAAAAAACAACUUUUGUACUUAUCUGUGGAUCUUGUACUUCUUUGCUUUCAGUCCCUGGAUGAACUUACUUUACCCUAUUUUUUGGUAAUGAUAGUAGUAAUACAUAAAAUGAGUUUUAUUUAUUUCAAACAUGAAAUUAAGAUUAAAAUAUUAACACAAAAAAUAUAAUUGCCUAAAACUGUUAUAAUUUUACUGGCUUUCUAAUUAAGGUACAAGUGGGUUAGAAUAAUUCAUCUACCUGGUCAAGAUGACAUUAGCAAUAGCUAUAAUGAAACUGUAUGCCAAAUUAAUGGAAAGCAGUAUAUUAAAAUGUCAGAAAGAAGUAUUGACAUUAUUUUUGAGUGACAGUAUAUCAUGGGAGGGUUUGACUUUCUGAAUUAUAUUUCAGUAACGUGAAGAGAUUGGACAAUAAAAAUUUACAUAACCUUUUGGCAUUACCUAUUCUAUAAAUGUAUCAUUUAUGUCAAACACAGAAGACCAUAUAGGCAGUGGGCAAUUCUGAGAGAAAGUGUCAUGUGAUACAUUAAAGGGAAGAUAAAAAUUUAUUUAAAUAUUUACCUUUGAAAUUAAAAAAUUAAAACUUGUUAAAUUUUGAAUUAUAAGUUACAUUUUCCUACUAAGAUUUUUGACAUACAUUGAUAAGAGUCAUUUACUUAAAUUUUAAAUGUAACUGUAAAAGUUUCUGACAUGUGCACUUUGAUGCAGCCAUACACAUGUGAUUAAGAUGUCCAAAAAUUCAGGAGGUGCUUGCUUCAGUUUACUAAUGAUUAUGUUUAUAUUUGCCAAGACUUGUGAAGUACUGGAAGUUGUCAGAUAUAAACAAUGUUUGUGCAACUGUUAAAAUAUUACACAUUACUGUUACAAAUGCUGUUCCUUUUGGUAUUCUGCAACAUUAAACACAGUGUGUUUGCAGAUCAUCAUCAGGAGCUGAGAUCCAGUAUGGAAUCUCCACCUCAUUCUGGAAUUUUUCUUGAAGAUGAAAAUGAAUUUCCACCCAUCACACACAAGUCUGAUUGAUUUAUAGAAAACCAGAUCAAGAUUUCUGAAACUCCCACAAGGAACUUUGUACUUCUGAUAUAAAAUUUGUCAUAAAAAAGUCACCGUUUUUAUUGCUUUAAAUUCUCACUUGCUGCUGCUAGAAUGGGAAGUACUACGCAUUAUUUUUAUUUGAUAAAACCAACUUUAUGGUAUGUUGAAAUCGUACAUUGUGUCAUAUGUAAUACUUGUACAUGUAAUUGUAAACAAUAAUUUUCUUUGUACAUACAUGUAUAAUGUCACAAAUAAUUAAAAUCAUACUGCUUGUUUUGUAUGAAUAUAUUUUGUAAAAUUUUAACAACAUAUUUGUUACAAAGCUUUGAAUAUAUCCCUUGUGGUGAAGUUAAUAAACAUUAGUCCUCACAGAAACUUUAGAACAUUGAAUGAAAAUAUAAUUAAGCAAAACAUAUCAGUUUUUAGCACAUCUUUAUCAAAAAAGAAGCAACUAUCUGUUCAAAUCUGUCUUAAGGUUUUAUCUACUUUAUUCUUAUGAAAUUUAUUCAGUUGUUGUGAAUUAAUGCAGAACUGUGUUUGAAUGAAUUGUUUUUGUAAUAUUUCUUUUCUAUGUUAUAGCAGAUGUUUUUAUUUAACUUCAUAGUUGUAAGAGUAUAUACAAAAUGUUAUAUAGACCGUAAGAAAUCUUUUAAUUCAGCUUUUAAAUAAUAACAAAAAAGGAAUACUAAACAAAUUGCAAUCUUUGAAUAUUUAAUAUGUUUUACUGAUCUUUCAUUUAACCAAAGAAUGUGACCAAACAAAAGUUGUGAAUGUGAUGUUUUUUUUUAUUUCGAAGUAUGACUUGUAUCUUUCAUUUCUGAGCUUAUGGAUUUUCAGAAAUUCUUCUACAAGAGAAUAUAUAUAUAUAUCUAUAGAGUUGUACUUCUGAAGAAUAUUUUCAUAGUUAUAUGAAAAGCCAGUACAAGAUGAGUCAGAUGUACUAAGAAAUAUAAUUUAAUUAUUUUUUUUGCAAGUGAUACUUGUUUUACUGUUAAUGUCAUAUGUUAUUAUUUGGGUUUUUGGUAGAAUUACUGUUGGUGUCAAAUAACCAUUUAUACUAAGUUACUGUGAAAUAUAAUAACAUUUUAUAUUUCAGUGAAAAGUUUUUGAUGAAUGGCUGUUCAGUUAAUGGUAAUGCAUUCUGAGAAAAAUGUUUUUGAUAAAUAUAGUUUGGUAAAAUGAAAGUUUUAGAGAAAAUUUUGUGGUUGGAAUUGCAUCCUGAUGAGUAAGUAUUUUGUAUAUUGUAAUAGGAUAAAGCUCUAAAAAUGUACAUGAUGAAUUACUGUACACUGGAUAAAUUUAAGUUCUCAGAGUGUGUGAGUUACACUUAAUGUACAGUUUCAUGGCAUUUAAGCAUUCAAAAGAAGGUUCAAGUUAGUUAAUAUAGCACUGUAAUGCAACUUCAUCUUAAAGGAAAGGUUUUUAACAUAUUUAUAGAUAGAUUACAAUGUUGCGAAAUUACAUCUCUCAAGUAAAGAGUAUAAUUGUAUUUCUCAAAGAAAGUUUGUUCAUAAGGAAUAGCGGAAUUAUAUUGCUUAAAAAAAUGGUCUUUUAUGAGUUACUGUAAAAUUAAUGGGUGUUUUAUUUUCCAAGAGAUUUGUUAAUAUAUAAAUACUCAUUUUCCUAUGUUGUGGAACUGAACAGAGAAGUUCCAAGUGAAUUGCUUUAUAAUGUAAUGAAAUUACAUCUCCAUUGAAAAGUUUUGUACACUUGUACAGUGUAGUUGAAGUAAACCUCACAGAAAAGGUCUUUGAUGUACUUAAUGUGGGUUCUGUUGAAACUACACAUCUCACAGUGUCUUUGGUAAGUUUAAUAUAACUUUAUAAUUACAUGAAUACUUUCUUCAUAUUUAUGUAAAAAGGAAUAUUUGUUUCAUUUUAAUUUCUGUAGCGUUAGUUUUAUUUCAUUCUUGCUUUUAUUCUACAUGUCUGUACGAUUUAUUUAUAUGGCUGUUCAGAAAGGUAAUUUUCAAAGGAGUCAUAAAAGAUUUAUGAUUUUUACAAAACAGAACAUAGAAGUUAUAAAGAAUCAACUAUAGAAGAAAAGCUAAAUGUUAUUUUUUCUUAGCCAGGGUUGAGAUCUUAGUUGUAAUAAUUGAUUUAAAUGCAUUGUUUUCAUGUGUUUUGACCUUUAUGAAUAACAACAGCAGAAACAAAUUGAGAUUUCUUUUGGCGAUCAUUUUUACCUAAUUUCUCAAAUGACAGAUGAUGUGCAGAAUACUUGAAUAUACAUGUAAUUUCUCAAUUUCUUUAUUGGAUGAUACGUUUCUGGUAUUUUUUUUUUAUAAAAUUUGUUAUUUGGUUAUCUGUUAAUUAAUUGCUUUCAAGAAAGAGAAGUCAUUUACAAAAUUCAUAAAAUCUCACUAUAUUUGAUUUCGUAAUAAGUUGCUUGUUUAAAUUAUCCACAUUCUUGCUUUUUUCAAAUGACUAUACCUAAAUCUGUUUAAAUAUUAUAUUCAAGUUUAUUAAAAAUUACUUCCAAGUCUUUAUGUACCAUCUGAGUAAAUCUAAAUAAAUGUCAAAACCAUGCACACUAUUAGUAAUACUAUCUGCAUGAAUGAUUUGUUGAAAUUUUUUAAAUUCAAACAUUAAAUUAUUUAGCAUCAGUGACAACUUUUUCUGACGUUUGUUGUUAUUUUAAAUCAGAGAAAUUUAAACACAAUAAAUUUGGAAAAUUUAUCACUCAUCAAAAAAACUUAUUUUGAAAUAGUAACUAUUUCUGGCCAAGGCCUUUCAUGAGGUAGUGCCUAAGAUUGUCAUUAAAAUAUAAUGAAAAACCAACUUGAAUGACAGUAACAGAAUAAAGAUAUGUUAAUUAUGUUAAUCGUAAAAAAAAAAUGUUAUGUAAACAAAACAAACAAUACAGUAAAACACGGAUAAAUGCUACGUAAUAACUUAAAAAUUAAACGUGAGUGAAUGUGUGAAAGUACUUUAAGGUAAUUCCAAAUAAGAGAAAGAAAAGAAAACAAUUUCCUUUUUACAGUUACAAACUACUGGUUAAAGAUGGAAAGAAAAUGGGGUGUGGAUAUAAAAUUAGGUCACAGUGAAUGACUGACCAUAAAAAGGUAGAAGAAAACAUUAAACAAAAGAAGUUUUUUUUAAUCCUGAUAGAGAAAUGGUUCCCAAGAUACAAAUAAGACAGUUUCAUGUGUUCACAUGAGGAACAUUUAGUAGGAGCACACCUUAAGGUUCAAAUCUACAUCUUAUACUAAUGGGGUGUAAUUGAAAUAAAAUUCAUUUUGGUUGAGCAAUUAAUUUCAUAAAAGCAUCAUAUUAAAAGCCAUUAAUUACCUUAAAAUUACACCAAUUACUUACAGUAAAGUUGUGUCAGUUAAUAAUUCACUGUAUAUUUAAUAAUUCAAAAAAUAACUUAAGAAGAAAAAGGUUCACAAAGAUACUUUUUAAGUUCAGUAAGUCACCAAUUCAAGAUUCUAAAGUGAAGUUCUACCCUAAACUGUAGUGGUUUAUUGCAUACUUUCUAACACUAUCUGUUUAAUGGAAGAAUAAUUUAUAUACCAUUGAUGUUCUUGAUACAUUACCUGAAAAUGUUAAGCACAAUAAAUAUUUUGCAUCAGUUAAUAAAAUAAAUUUGAAACUUC